CAGACUCCCAAGCACCUGCCCAUCCCACUCCAUAGCCCAGCCACCCACUCUCAUGUACCAUAUGGCCAUCCCAGUAAGCAAGCCAACCACUAGAAUUUGACUGGCAUGCACCUGUGACUUACAUAAACCAGACCUCUACAUAGCCUACAUGUCUUCAUUUUGCUGAAGACUGCCCAUCAUCCUAGCCUGUUAUCUGUGAUAAAGCACACUGAAGUUAGGUUUGGAAUGCAUCCUUAUCAUGAAUGCUCUACACCUCCACCUCCAUCUCCCACAACCUAGGUAACAGCUUUGAGACUCACUAAAAGUUGGUAAGUUAUGUAAGGAAUUUCUAAAUUAAGUUUUAUACUACAUGUUAUAUGUGAUAUUAAACCACUGUAUGGUGCAUAUUACUGUAUGUAACUUACUAUGCAUAGAGUACUUACUGACAAAAUUAUUUUUUGUACAUUCCAGAACCCCCUGAAUGAUGUAGGCUAUGGGGCCACAUAAGACUUUGUCCAUCCAGGGUUACAUUGAACGACAACUUUAAACUAAAAAACCAACAUUUUUCACACAACUCCAGGUUGUUACUAACAAAUUACUACUACAAGUGUCAUCAAGGGAUAACUACAAGUAGAAGCACCAUUUUUGGAUGGAAAAAACCCUUCAGGAAAGUAUACGUAUCACAUGUAACAUGUAGUGUAACAAAGUAUGAACAGUAAGGUUUUUACAUACAGUAGUACUACAUAUUACAUACGUACAUAACUUUUUUUUACAGGAAUUUCCAACCAAGUUUGAUUAUGUACAUACAUGUUAUAAACCACUGUACGUAUGGUUACUGUAUGUAACUUACUAAACAUACAUAACAUGACUUAACUUUGAUACUUUUUUGGUACAUUCCAGAAAACCAGGACCCCCUCCAUGAUGCAGGCUAUGGGGCCACAUAAAACUUUGUCCAGGGUUACUAGUACAUAACAUAGCACGACAACUGUAAACUAUGUACUACUGUACUAAAGGUAAGGAAUUAUACAUAGUAGUAAACAUACAUUAAGUAAGUUUUAUACGUACAUACUAAAAAAAAGUGACCAAGAUCUCUCACAUGGGAUAAGUGAUCAAGGUCCCUCAUGGAAUUACAUACUGUACACUCCCUGCUGAACAGGGGGUGUAGACCAAUC